rnacentral:rRNA from 1 species
GAUGAACGCUGGCGGCGUGCCUAAUACAUGCAAGUCGAGCGAACAGACGAGGAGCUUGCUCCUCUGACGUUAGCGGCGGACGGGUGAGUAACACGUGGAUAACCUACCUAUAAGACUGGGAUAACUUCGGGAAACCGGAGCUAAUACCGGAUAACAUGUUGAACCGCAUGGUUCAACAGUGAAAGACGGUCUUACUGUCACUUAUAGAUGGAUCCGCGCCGCAUUAGCUAGUUGGUAAGGUAACGGCUUACCAAGGCAACGAUGCGUAGCCGACCUGAGAGGGUGAUCGGCCACACUGGAACUGAGACACGGUCCAGACUCCUACGGGAGGCAGCAGUAGGGAAUCUUCCGCAAUGGGCGAAAGCCUGACGGAGCAACGCCGCGUGAGUGAUGAAGGUCUUCGGAUCGUAAAACUCUGUUAUUAGGGAAGAACAAAUGUGUAAGUAACUAUGCACGUCUUGACGGAACCUAAUCAGAAAGCCACGGCUAACUACGUG